rnacentral:tRNA from 1 species
ACUGUUAUGUGAUCAGCUGCUAACUGAAAUGUUGGUGGUUCGAACCCACCUAGCAGCU